AUGACCUUUAAUAUGCAAAUGGUAACUUGCAAUUAAAUAUAUAAUAAUAAAUAUAUUUCCAUCAAGUUGACUUUUUACGUGUUUUGUUUGUAGGGAGAGGCAGGGCCCUCUGGAGUCACAGGACCAGUAGGACCUCAAGGAGACACCGGGGAGCUGGGCCCUCCAGGGCGGCCAGGCCUUAACGGAGCUGAUGGGAUACCAGGUCCCCCAGGAAACAUCAUGCUCAUACCGUUCCAGUCAAGUGGUGAUCCAAAGUCAGGAACUGUGGUUUCUGCACAGGAGGCGCAGGCUCAGGCCAUUCUGCAGCAGACAAAGGUACACAAAUGUUUGAAAUAUUACCUUUUUAUAUCUUAAACACACUCACAGAGCUGAUGUAGAACUACUGCUGUGUGUGUGU
rnacentral:lncRNA from 1 species